AUUGAACGCUGGCGGCAGGCCUAACACAUGCAAGUCGAGCGCGCGGCGGACGGGUGAGUAAUGUAUGGGGACUCCCCGAUAGAGGGGGAUAACACCUGGAAACGGUAGCUAAUACCGCAUACUACAGGAUAACCCCGAUGGGAUUAGCUAGGAGGUGGGGUAAGGGCUCACCUAGGCGACGAUCCCUAGCUGGUCUGAGAGGAUGAUCAGCCACACUGGAACUGAGACACGUCCCAGACUCCUACGGAGGCAGCAGUGGGGAAUAUUGCACAAUGGGCACAAGCCUGAUGCAGCCAUGCCGCGUGUAUGAAGAAGGCCCUAGGGUUGUAAAGUACUUUCAGUCGGGAGGCGUUACCGACAGAAGAAGCACCGGCUAACUCCGUGCCAGCAGCCGCGGUAAUUC
rnacentral:rRNA from 1 species